rnacentral:rRNA from 1 species
UGCGAAUGGCUCAUUAUAUAAGUUAUCGUUUAUUUGAUAGUACCUUACUACUUGGAUAACCGUGGUAAUUCUAGAGCUAAUACAUGCUAAAAAUCCCGACUUCGGAAGGGAUGUAUUUAUUAGAUUAAAAACCAAUGCCCUUCGGGGCUCACUGGUGAUUCAUGAUAACUUCUCGAAUCGCAUGGCCUUGUGCCGGCGAUGGUUCAUUCAAAUUUCUUCCCUAUCAACUUUCGAUGUUUGGGUAUUGGCCAAACAUGGUUGCAACGGGUAACGGAGGGUUAGGGCUCGACCCCGGAGAAGGAGCCUGAGAAACGGCUACUACAUCCAAGGAAGGCAGCAGGCGCGCAAAUUACCCAAUCCCGACACGGGGAGGUAGUGACAAUAAAUACUGAUACAGGGCUCUUUUGGGUCUUGUAAUUGGAAUGAGUACAAUUUAAAUCCCUUAACGAGGAACAAUUGGAGGGCAAGUCUGGUGCCAGCAGCCGCGGUAAUUCCAGCUCCAAUAGCGUAUAUUAAAGUUGUUGUGGUUAAAAAGCUCGUAGUUGAACCUUGGGCCUGGCUGGCCGGUCCGCCUCACCGCGUGUACUGGUCCGGCCGGGCCUUUCCCUCUGUGGAACCCCAUGCCCUUCACUGGGUGUGGCGGGGAAACAGGACUUUU